CGACGGCGUGGAGCGAGGGGAAGCACGCGGCGACAGGAAGAGGCGGCGCUGGCCAGGGGCAGCAGGCGGCGGCGAGGCGAACGCGGGCGACGCGCGCGUCGGGCGCGGUGGAGGGCGAAGCAGGGGAGGCGGCGCGCGAGGCCAGGGAAGAGGGAGCCCGCGGGGAGAGGGAGGUAGGGGAGCCGGCCAUGGGGGAAGCAUGCGCGACACAGAGGCAGGGAAGUGCCUGGGUGAAGGAAGAAGAAGGGGAGAAGAAGGAGGCGGCGGCAGGAGGAAGAAGUUGAGAAAGAAAAAGAAAAAGAAAAGAAAAGAGAGAGGGGAUUAAAUAGCUAGGGUUAGGGUUAGGGUUUGGCUUACAUGUGCUGGUUUUUGGUCCCAACAAACAAUUGCACCCAAAUUAAAUUAAUUCGAUAUUUAAUUUAUUUUGGAAUAAAAUAGGAAGAGAGAGGGUGUAGGUUUAAUUAGACCCGGAAAUGAUUUGUCAAACUCAAAUAGGAUUUGUACAAAAUAAUUUUAGGCUUUCGCGAACACGCGAAAAGGCAAGCACAUGACAACACAAAAGAAGUGACAUUUUGUGCAAGCGAAUAAUUAUUUCAUGCGACACGAUGCUAAUGGCAUGGAAAAUUAAUUAUGAUGACAUGACCAUGACAGAUGAUGAAGAUAAAUAAAUUACAAAACAGUCCAAAAGGGCUUAAAAGGAAAAGGGUUGGUCUCGGGCUGUUACAACUCUCCCCCACUCAAAGGAAUUGCGUCCCGAGAUUCCAAAAGAAGGGAAGGAAGGAAGUGGAAUACUCGGUCCGACGAUGGUCUUCGCGUUGCGACGCUUGUCCUUGAAGAGGUUGAUGGUCUUGUCAAAGAGCGACAUUCGGCUUCACGAAGGAUGUGAACCAAACGCUCCGGAUAGAAAGGUCAAAGACUAGAUAUAGAAGCGAAACAGAGCAUAGGACACGUGAAAAACAACGUGCACCUUGAAGAGGUUGGAGGAAGGUUGAAGCAAACAAGGAACUUGAAAAUACGAAUGUAUCGCGGAGCGAACUUGUCUUUGAUACGAAAACGUUGUGUACCUCGCAACGAAGUAACACGAAGAAAAGAUUGACCACCAGGUGCAUAUACCAAGACUAUAGUCUUGAUCGUAGUGCAGCUGGGUGAAAAAGGAGAGGAGUGCCAUGACCAUCUUUGAGAAAGAUAUCUCUUAGACCUUGAUGAUUAGGAACAACAAUGCAUCCUUAAAGAACACAAUCUCUUUGUCAUCAGUCGUGAAACUCUUGGACACGGAAUUACCAGCAAUAAUCUCAUAAAUGAGCUUAUGGGCAAGGAGAAACAAAAAGUGGAGCAUUCCGAAUUUUUUCUUCCAACAUUGACAUAACACUCAGGUUGGCAAGAUAACCUUGUGGAAUGAGUUCAAGGUUCGGUUUCACAAGUUCCUCAUAGAGAGUAGGUUGACAAACCUUAAACAUGAGGUUGUUGCAAGAUGUCGUCGCACGGGGCUCCGACACUGGGGAUGCGUGGGCACCCCCUUUUAGGUUCGGAUGUGGGCUACGGGUGUGAGACCCCGAGACUGGAUUUAUGCAAUUUAGCCCCAAAAUGCUAACGCGCGCAUAAAUCAAGUCCCAGUGCCUCCCUACGAUGAACACUUCACAACAUACAUGCAAUGUGUUCACCGCAGGUUGGAACAAAAAUGAUAUCAUUAGAUCACUUCUAAGACACAAGAUUAAGUCAAGCUCAUACAAGGAGCGAAAUAGCAAGUUAUUACAACGCACGGACACAUGUCCACAAUCAUCAUUACACCAGCGGAAGCAAAUGUAGGCCCGAGUACGGACAAAUUACAAUAUUGCCUAAGAGGCUGAAACUAAAAAGGAGAGCCCGCCACAAGUUCUCAGAACCCUGCUCUGGGAUCUUCUGGCUAAACGUUGAAGCUUUCGUCGUCGAACCCCACGAAGUAACCACUCACCUGUUCCUCCGGAAACUCUAGAGAAAACAACGUUGCAGAGCAACAGAGUACAAAGUACUCGCAAGACUUACGGCAGAUCUAAACUAGAUAUGCAACAAGUCUCAAAGGAUGGCUAAAAGGUGGGUUUUGCAGCAGCGAUCUACUUGGAGAGACACAGUAAUGACAUCGUCUAAUUAGAGGAUGAGAAGCGUCUACCAAGUGAAGUGAUAACCUAUCAACUAACACCAACCAAACACAACCUCUUAUCACCCCCUCAACCCCUUAUGAGGAAAUGAUCCAAAGGCACUCACACUUAAGCAGUUUUAAGCAUAUCCAUGAUUAAGGCUAAUUACUACUCAAGUUUAAGAGAUUAAGUUAUUUAAGUGGUAUGAGUUCUCUAUGAUCAAGUAAUGACCAACCAAGUCGUCCAUGACCGCGGACACGGCUUUCCGAAAGAUUUAUCCCUCCAGGGUGUGCCAAUUUACCCGUACACAUUCGUCCAACCCUUGACGCCACUAGCAUGGAACACACGCAAAAGCAUGUGCCCGCAGGAUUGAGCGAUACGACGUUUCCAAGCCCCACAACUAAUCCAGGGAACCACCCAACUGAGUCUAGUCCGAAACGAGAGCCCGGCCGAAGCAUUGUACGGACUCAAGAGUUGCGGGAACAGCUGAUAGUGGUUCAGUGUCCACAAAAUAACCACUCCAGACGUGUGCCGCAGUCCUAUAUGUAUGCAACGUCCAACAAGUCUCCAAACACAACACCAGUGUAUAUGCGAUAUGCCAAAUGGAACGCCCGAACUAUGUGGCCCCUGGAAGAGCUAUGAAACGAGUACUAAGCCGAGGGGAACCCAUAUAUGCUCCCACGAGCGGUUAGCGCGAAGUUUCUUGGGUCGGCAAAAACAAGAACUCAGUCCUUAGGUCAGCGGCAAUGGAACAAAACACCAAUGCGUUAGCACGGCCUCCCAUCGUUGCCUUGUGCAGUUAAUAACAGGUCACAGUUUAAUAAUUGCAGUUAAAUACAGAAAGUAGCAUCUGGAUGUAGCAAUUGUAUAACCCCAAGUAAGGACACUAGACUAGCAAUCUAAGCAAACUUCUAAUGACCAGCUAGGGCAAUAACAAACAGGUGACAUGGUAAUAGGGUAAGGAACAAGACAACAGGCAUUUGAGUACAGCUGACUAAAGCUAUGCAAUCUUAGAGGCAUCGUGACAAGAACUAAGAACGUAACUUAAUGCAAGAACGAGAGAGAGGCAUUGGGUAUAAUCAACAUGUUCAAGGAAUGGCUGCUUGCCUGGAUUCUCGGUCGCUGGGCACCGAGAGAGGGGAUCCGAAGAAGUGUGGGAACCCGGAUCGUCGACGGAGUAAGUCGGAGUCUCUAUAGUAAAGAUCCAAACCACACAAUACGCAAAUAAGUAACCACUCAUAGGUGCAAUGCACAACACAACAUGAGAUGGCAUGUGACAACAUGAUGCAACAAUAUGCAAGUGAAACGAUUCCAUUUAGCAACAAAGUUAGCCAGUAGGUGAUUAGAUCAUGGUAAACAACAGCUUUAAAUUACACCAAUGGCCUAACCAAGUAUGCUACUGGGUUCUACAAGUUACAGUGAUCAACUUUGAUGUUUACAUUAAUCACAGAAGGGUUACCAAUUUUAAAUUAGAGACAAAACAAUUCAUACUUUUAAAUUUCAAAUCUGUGAUAGAUUUGAAAUUUGAGAACUCAAAAUGUAAAUCUAAUUGCACAGUUAAAUUCCUUGCAUUUUUCUGAUUCCAAAACAUGUAUGGUUUGCCCAAGUUGGACAUAGCAUGCAUUUUCUAGGAUUUAAACAAGAUUUGAAACAUUUCUGGAAUUUUAGACAAAAGAAAACACACAGAGAACUAAAUCUACUCGGGCGCAGCUAGCCUGUGCGGCUGACAGCGGGCCCGGACGAGCUGACGAGGCGGGGUGCGCUGAGCUGGCUUCCACGGUCUCUGACCAACGGGUCCCACUUGUCAGAGUCGGUCAAAGAGUAAAAAGGUUGGGGUUUUUACCCUGCGCCGCGGGGAUUCGAACGCGAGUCGGUCUGACCAGAGUGAACGGACGAGCAAGGUAACUAGGCGGGCUGCGAUUCGGAUCUUACAAGAUCCAGGGCGCAAACCCUCUUAACUCAACCCAAGCGGGCGGCUUGGGGGCACGCGCGGCGGCCACGGCGAGGCAUGGACGCCGGCGACCACGGCAAGCGGCUGGAAUAGGAGAGACUGGAGAAGCGGUUGACGAAGCUUCGCAACGUCUCCCCCGGCUUCUGCACUACGGUGUGCAGCUCCGCCAUGGUUCCCGGGCGCUUGUAGCCGCCCUGGAACGCGCUUACAAACUGCUCGCGCAGGUCCGCCCAAGUGGCGAUGGACCCAGCGGGCAGGUGGAGCAGCCAUGUUCUCGCUGAUCCUUUCAGGACCAUCGGGAACCAGGUUGCUCUGGCCUUGUCGUCGGCGCCGAUGGCAUGCAUCCCCAACGUGUAGGUCAGGAGGAAAUCCUUGGGAUUCACGGUCCCAUCGUACGUACCGAGCGCGGGUGCUCGGAACUUGCGAGGCCAUGUCACCCGCCGCAGCUCGCACGUGAACGCAGUGCAGCCGUCCUCGGGGCCCAUAGGAGCAUCUUCCUGCUCCUGCGGGCAUUGGCGCUCUACCUCGCGCCGGCACCGGCGCUCCAGGCUGUAACAGCCCAAGAGCAACUUUUACAUUUAAGCCCCUGUGUGGAACUGGUUGUAAUCUAUUUUCGUUGCAUAACAUGUUACAUUGCAUCCAUGCCAUGCCAUGUCUACUUACUUGUGUCAAAUGAGUUUUAAAUUGGCAUCUCAAAUUGUGGUUUGAGUUCUCGUUGAUUCAAAUAUGAAUCAUCCUUCUCGAAGUUUGAACUCUUUUCCCUAUAAUUUACAAAUCACAUUCAAAUGGGUUUUGUUUCAAACCUUAAACUCAUGUGAAUAUUUUACAAAUACUAGUACCAUAUUUGUUUUCUCAGCUAUUCAAAAAGGUGUUUGAAAUAUGAAUCCAAAAACUAUUUGCAAAAACAGAAAAAGAAAAGGGAAAAGAAAACCUUACCUGCUCACUUGGCCCGAGCCGGCCCAGCCGCCUCGACCCGCCUUCCUCCCGCGCGCGCGAGCAAGCCGCCCCGCAGCGCAGGCCUCGCAGCCCGCUUCUCCCGCGCAGCCCCGCACCCCAGCAUCUUCCGUGUGCGCCCGCUUCCCGUCCCCCCGCAGCAAAAGCGUAAAACCCCGGAAUGCGCUUCGUCUCACAGCUCUCGCUUCUACCUCUGCUUUUCUUCCUUCUAACCGGUGAGCCCCUCGGCCACGUCCUCUUCGACAGCGACAGCCACGCCUCCGCCUCGCCUACAUAAGCUGCACCGCACCUCCUCCUGCCCGCGCCGCCUCUAGGAAACCCUAGUUAGGGUUUUUUCCUUCCCCUUCUGCGCAGCGUCGUCGCCCCGCUCCUUCGGCCGUGGACGCCACCGCGUCGCGCCACCGUCUCCGGCCGAACGGCGGCAAGCCGACCGCGUCACCCAAACCGCGUCGUCGCCUGCUUUGUCUACGUGCGAGGAAUUGGACGGAGGGCAUCUACAUCGACGCCUAGGUCGUCUUCCCCAUCUCCGGCCGCCGCCUCUUCUCCGACAAAUUCGGGCGAGGUCGUCGACUCUUUCCUCGUCCGCUUCCUCCUGAAGAUCCGGGGUGAGAUGCUCUUCCUCCUGCCUCUUUCCCCGCCGCUUUUCAUGCACCGUAGCAUCGUAGCCGCGAGCGCGCGCUCCGCCGUGCGCCGGCGAGCUUCGGCUCGUCGCCGCGUCGUCGCGUCCUUGAGCAUGUUGCGGUGGCCUUCACGCCACUUAAGGUAGAUCCGUGCGCCGCUCUCGUUUCCGCCGCUAGUUGGUGCACCGCCGUGCCGUGUGGUCAUCGCCGGCGACGCACCCCGCGGUGGCCGCCGUGCGUGGCCAGGCAGCCGUCUUAGCUUUGUUCAAAACGGCUUGCGCCCUGUACCUUGUAAGAUCCGAACCGCAGCCUGCCUGGUUACCUUGCUCGUCCGUUCGCUUCACACCGACCCGACCCAAGUUCGAUCCCCCGCGCCGCGCGGAAUAAAACCCCCCUUUUUAGCCUCUGUCCGAGACUGAUAGGUGGGCCCGGUCAGUCAGCAAACGCGGGCUCCCAUCCGCGUCAGCGCCACGUCAGCUAGGUUCCGGUCCCGCUUGUCAGUGACCGUGGCUAGCUCCCCUUCGGUGUAAAUUGUUUUGCCUGUUUGUUUUCUUUUAUAAAAUCCAAGAAAAUGCUUUGAUCUUGUUUUAUUUGUAGAAUAUUCAUUCUAGGUCCAAAUAAUACAAAGUCUAUGUUUUUUGGAAUCAGAAAAAUGCAAGGAAUUUAACUGUGCAAUUAGAAUUACAUUUUGAGGUUUCAAAUUUCAAAUCUGUCCCAGAUUUGAAAUUCAAACGUAUGAACUUGUUUAGUCUCUAGUUUAAAAUUGGUAACUCUUCUGUGGAUAGUGUAAACAUCAAAGUUGAUCCCUGUAACUUGUAGAACACAGUAGCAUACUUGGUUAGGCCAUUUGUGUAUUUUAAAGCUGCUGUUUACCAUGAUCUAAUCACCUAAUGGUUAACUUUGUUGCUAAAUAGAAUCUUUUCACUUGCAUAUGGUCGCAUCAUGUUGUUCCAUGCUAUCUCAUGUUGUAUUGUGCAUUGCACCUAUGAAUCGUUACUUAUUCGCGUAUUGUGUGAUUUGGAUCUUUACGAUAGCGACUCCGACUUACUCCGUCGACGAUCCGGGUUCCCACACUUCUUCGAAUCCCCUCUCUCGGUGCCUAGCGACCGAGAAUCCAGGCAAGCAGCCAUUCCUUGAACAUGUUGAUUAUACCAAUGCCUCUCUCCCAUUCUUGCAUUAAGUUACGUUCUCGGUUCUUGUCACGAUGCCUCUAGGUCUGCAUAGCUUUAGCCAGCUCUACUCAAAUGCCUGUUGUCUUGUUCCUUAUCCAAUUACCAUGUCACAUGUGUGUUAUCGUCCUAGUGGGUCAUUAGAAGUCUGCCUAGAUUGCUAGUCUAGAGUCCUUACUUGGGGUUACACAAUUGCUACAUCCACAUGCUACUUUUCUGUAAUUAAUUGCAAUUAUUGAACUGUGACCUGUUAUUACCUGCACAAGGCAACGAUGGGAGGCCGUGCAAAUGCAUUGGUGAUUUGUUCCAUUGACGCUGACCUAAGGACUGAGUUCUCGUUUUUGCCGACCCAAGAAACUUCGCGCUAACCGCUUGUGGGAGAAUAUAUGGGUUCCCCUCGUCUUAAUAUUCGUUUCAUAGCUCUUCUAGGGGCCACAUAGUUCGGGCGUUCCAUUUGGCAUAUCGAAUAUACACUGGUGUUGUGUUUGGAGUCUGGUUGAUACUUUGCAUACAUAUAGGAUUGCGGCACUAGUCUGGAGUGGUCAUUCUGCGGACACUGAACCACUACCAGUUGUCGACGCAACUCUUGAGUCCGUACGACGCUUCGGCUGGGCUCUCGUUUCGGAUUAGACUCAGUUGGGUGGUCCCCUAGAUUAGUUGUGGGGCUUGGAAACGUCGUGUCGCUCAAUCCUGCCGGCACAUGCUUUUGCGUGUGUUCCAUGCUAGUGGCGUCAAGGGUUGAACGAACGUGCACGAGUAAAUUGGCGCACCCUGCAGGGAUAAAUCUUUCGGAAAGCCGUGUCCGCGGUCAUGGACGACUUGGUUGGUCAUUACUUGAUCAUAGAGAACUCAAUCAAUUUAAUUAACUCAAUCUCCUAAACUUGAGUAGUAAUUAGCCUUAAUCAUGGAUAAGCUAAAACUGCUUAAGCGUGAGUGCCUUUGGAUCAUUUCCUCACAAGGGGUUGAGGGGGUGAUAAGAGGUUGUGUUUGUUUGGUGUUAGUUAAUAGGUUAUCACUUCACUUGGCAGACGCUUCUCAUCCUCUUUUUAGAUGAUGUCAGUAGUGUGUCUCUCCAGAUAUAUUGCUGCUGCAUAACCCACCAUAUUAUCCAUCCUUUGAGACUUGUUGCAUAUCUAGUUUAGAUCUCCCGUAAGUCUUGCGAGUACUUUGUACUCAGUUGGUUUGCAAUGUUGUUUUCUCCAGAGUUUCCGGAGGAACAGGUGAGUGGUUACUUUGUGGAGUUCGACGACUACAGCUUCGACGUUUAGCCAGAAGAUGCCAGAGCAGGGUUCUGAGAACUUGUGGCGGGCUCCCCUUUUUGGUUUUAGCCUCUUAGGCAAUAUUGUAUUUUGUCCGUACUCGGGCCUAAAUUUGCUUCCGCUGGUUUAAUGAUGAUUGUGGACAUGUGUCCGUGAGUUGUAAUAACUUGGUAUUCUGCUCCAUGUAUGGGCUUGACUUAAUUCUUGAGUCUUAGAGUGAUGCAAUGAUAUCUUUGUUGUUCCAACCUGCGGUGAACACAUUGUGUGUAUGUUGUGAAGUGUUCAUCAUAGGGAGGCACUGGGGCUUGAUUCAUGCACGAGUUAGCAUUUGGGGCUAAAUUGCAUAAAUUCAGUUUCAGGGCUUCACACAGGCGCUGGCGCAGAUCCUCCUGCUGGCGGGCAUUCAAGAUGCCGCGUGCGUCACCUCGCGUGACGGUGGGUGACGAGUCCGAGGACCCCUCCGGGUCCCCGCCUCCUUGGCCUCCCUGCGGGGGAGGGUUUUCACCUUGUCGCGAGGUGCGGGACGCGUCUCCGCACUCUGGGUUUUGCCCGCGGCCGGACUAUGUGGCCCCUGGAACGCCCGAACUAUGUGGCCCCUGGAAGAGCUAUGAAACGAGUACUAAGCCGAGGGGGAACCCAUAUAUUCUCCCACGAGCGGUUAGCGCGAAGUUUCUUGGAUCGGCGAAAACGAGAACUCAGUUCUUAGGUCGGCGCCAAUGGAACAAAACACCAAUGCGUUAGCACUGCCUCUCAUCGUUGCCUUGUUACAAUUUAAUAUCAUAUCACAGGUUUAAGAAUUGCAAUUAACAUAAAGUAGCAUGUGGAUGUAGCAAUUGUGGAACCCCAGAUAAAAGGACACCAGACUCGCAACUAAGCAUGACAUCUAAUGACCAAGUGGUAGGACAACAACAAACAUGUGACAUGGUAAUAGGACAAGUAACAAGACAUGGGGCAAUAAGUAGAGCUGACUAAAGCUAUGCAAUCCUAGAGGCACCGUGACAAGAACUGAGAACGUAACUUAAUGCAAGAACGAGAGAGAGGCAUUGGGUAUAAUCAACAUGUUCAAGGAAUGGCUGCUUGCCUGGAGUACUCAAUUGCCCGGAAUUGAGCAAGGAUCUUGGAAGAAGAACACAAGUGUAGUCGUCGUCGUAGGAAUCGAAGACUAGCGAGCAAGAAGCAAAUACACCACAUAAAAGGAAAGUAUAAGCAUACAAGAUACACAUGGUAAUUAAUAUGCGCAAUCAAAGAAUGAUGUGUGACAUAGGCAUGAUGCAUGUCACAUUAAGGAAUCCGAAAGUAAAUCCGAUAUACGAUUACCAAGUUAAAUGGAGUCCGAAUCAUCUACACAUAGCACCUAUACAACUCCAUAUGCAGGAAAUAGAGUUUAAUUGAUCAAUUACACACAAUAAUAUUAUAGUUGGAUUAGCAUGCAUGACAAUGACAUGGAUAGGUGCGAUGCAUGCUUUAAAACAGGAACAACAGACGAAACAAAUGAGUCGAACGGGGUUGCACACGCCGGUGGCAACGACGUACCUGCAACUAACAUUAUCGAUACUAUCGGUACAUACACGGCAUCUCAUACAACACAUGCGUAUCGACAAUCGCAACCUACGGUUCUACGCCGAAGAUCGGUGGCCUCACGGGACAAUCGCACAUUAUACCUUGGACACGUGCGGUGUCGUGAUGUAGAGGAAGUAGUCGACGUAGUCGAGGUAGUCGUACAUGAUGUAGCCGUUGUAGGCGAAGUAGUCAUUCAAUCGUCGCUGUCGUAGUCGUUCAUGGCUCCGGCUCCAGGGUUCGAGGCGAUGUUGGUCUCCAUGGUGCCGACGAUGUGUGGCAGCAACACGUGCAGCAGCGAGGCGUCUUGACGUGGAGCAGUGGCAACACAGCAGCGGCAACAGCAAGCGGCUGACAGGCAGGGCCCACACAUAAGGGGAAAAAUUCCAGAAAAACAGAAAAGAAAGAAGGCCACUGGCUGGCUUGGACCGGGCUUGGAGAUGGGCCAAGGAGGAGGAGCUGGGCCUGUGGGCUUGGGCGACGGCAGCAGAGGAGGCCGGAGGAGAUGGGCGCUGGCAGCAAAGGAGGCCAGGGACAGAGCGGCACCGGGCGAGGUGGAAGGGGAGGCGCGUUGGAGGCGAGCGACGGGGAGGCGGAGCGGUUGCGGGCGGCGCGGACAGGAGCAAGGGGAGGUGGAGCGGGGGAGCAAGGCAGGCACGCGGGCGGCCAGGCGACAAGGAGAGGCGGUGCUGGGGUGAGGGCGACGCGCGCGGCGGCUGCGGGCGGCAUGGGGAAGCAGAGGGCGGAGCAGGGAGAGAGGGCGUGCGCGGGGGAGACGAGGAGGCGCGGAUGACGGCGUGGAGCGAGGGGAGGCGUGCGGCGACGGGAAGAGGCGGGGCGCGAGGCCAGGGAAGAGGGAGCCCGCGGGGGGAGGGAGGUAGGGGAGCCGGCCAUGGGGGAAGCACGCGCAGCGCAGAGGCAGGGAAGCACCUGGGUGAAGGAAGAAGAAUGGGAGAAGAAGGAGGCGGCGGCAGGAGGAAGAAGGGGAGAAAGAAAAAGAAAAAUAAAAAGAAAAGGGAGAGGGGAUUAAAUAUCAAGGGUUAGGGUUAGGGUUUGGCUUAGAUGUGCUGGUUUUGGGCCCAACAAACAAUUGCACACAAAUUAAAUUAAUUUGAUAUUUAAUUUGAUUUUGAAAUAAAAUAGGAAGAGAGAGGGUGUAGGUUUAAUUAGACCCGGAAAUGAUUUGUCAAACUCAAAUAGGAUUUGUACAAAAUAAUUUUAGGCUCGCGAAAAGGUAAGCACAUGGCAACACAAAAGAAGUGACAUUUCCUGCAAACGAAUAAUUAUUUCAUGCGACAUGAUGCUAAUGGCAUGAAAAAUUAAUUAUGAUGACAUGAGCAUGACAGAUGAUGAAGAUAAAUAAAUUACAAAACAGUCCAAAAGGGCUUAAAAGGAAAAAGGUUGGUCUCGGGCUGUUACACCGAUCCUUGCGCAAAUGUAUCCAAACC
rnacentral:lncRNA from 1 species